rnacentral:lncRNA from 1 species
UCGAGAGCAGGGCCAAAGGGAAGAGCCAAAAACCCUAACAACCAAAAAUCAUCAAAUUGAUAAGGAGAUCAAGGGAAAAAUCGAAUGCAUGAGUCUGGAUACUCUUUAAUCUAAGUGUAUUGAUCAUAAGGAACCCCAAAUUGACAUGGACUCAAAUAUGGAAGGCUAACGGAUCAAGAGGAAAUGAGGAAGUUAUGCACAAACUUGGACGCACGAGGUUUAUGAAUGUCGGACUUUCGAAGUGUUGAUAUAGUAAUGAAAUGAUUGAGUGUUGGAAGAUAAUCGGGUUGAAGUAACUUAAGCGGUUAGAAUAUGCUAUGGACGUUUUAGUUUAUACAAUAUUUUAUGUUUGGUCGUCACCACCUACUAACAGGUUAGUUGUAUGAGAAUAUAUGUGAUACCCAUUUAAUUGGGAAAUCGAAUGCGUAAGAGAAAUGAGAGUAUGUACAUGAAUGGAAUUAAAAUGACGGUUUUAUAAGCAAACAAGUAUAAAGACUAACUUUUUAAAGCUUUGUUGUUGAAUGUAGGUAAACCCUCAAUUCAGGCGACUUGGAGAAUCGGAGCGAGCGCGUGUUCAUGUUAU